rnacentral:sRNA from 1 species
UGGUAUAUCUUAAACUUUGCAAAAUUAUAAUGGCAUGGUUCCAAUUUACCCUUUUUUUAUCAU